rnacentral:lncRNA from 1 species
GUGCGAAAACCAAGAAAAAUGCUUAUUUGGGUCCCUUUUUGGCCCCUAAUUCCUAAACUGUUGGGACCUAAACUCCCAAAAUCAAUACCAACCUUCCUUUUGUAGUCAUUAACAUUGUGUUUAAAUUUCAUUGAUUUCUAUUUACUUAAACUAAAGUUAUUGUGCGAAAAACCAAGAAUAAUGCUUAUUUGGGCCCUUUUUUGGCCCCUAAUUCCUAAACUGUUGAAACCAAAACUCCCAAAAUCAAUCCCAACCGUUCUUUUGUGGUCAUAAACCUUGUGUCAAAAUUUCAUAGAUUUCUAUUAACUUAAAACUAAAGUUAUAGUGCGAAAACCAAGAAAAUGCUUAUUUGGGCCCUUUUUGGCCCCUAAUUCCUAAAAUGUUGGGACCAAAACUCCCAAAAUCAAUACCAACCUUCCUUUUGUGGUCAUAAACCUUGUGUUAAAAUUUCAUAGAUUUCCA